GUGUCAGCAGCCGCGGUAAUACAGAGGGUGCGAGCGUUGUCCGGAAUUACUGGGCGUAAAGGGCGCGUAGGCGGCCUGAUAAGUCGGGGGUGAAAGUCAGCGGCUCAACCGCUGGACUGCCUUCGAGACUGUCGGGCUCGAGCAUGGUAGAGGCUGGCGGAAUUCCCGGUGUAGCGGUGGAAUGCGUAGAGAUCGGGAAGAACAUCGGUGGCGAAGGCGGCCAGCUGGGCCAUUGCUGACGCUGAGGCGCGACAGCGUGGGGAGCAAACAGGAUUAGAAACCCCCGUAGUCC
rnacentral:rRNA from 1 species